CUUCGGCAACCUUUUCGAAAGGGGCGGUAAUACCAAAUAAUAUCAUUUGUCGAUAGCAAGAUGAUCAAAGAUUUAUCGGCAUAGGAGCGGCCUGUCUCCUAUCAGCUUGUUGGUGGGGUAAUGGCUCACCAAGGCAGCGACGGGUAGCGGGACUGAGAGGUUGACCCGCAACAUCGGGACUGAGACACUGCCCGGACCUCCACGGAGGGCUGCAGUAACGGAUAUUGUGCAAUGGGCGAAAGCCUGACACAGCGACGCCGCGUGUAGGAGGAAGUCUUUCGGGAUGUAAACUACUGUCAGGGGGAAGAAAGUCGGCUUCGGCGUAUUGAUCUAACCCAGAGGAAGUCACGGCUAACUUCGUGCCAGCAGCCGCGGUACGACGAAGGUGGCAAGCGGUGUUCGGUAUUACUGGGCUUAAAGCGUGUGUAGGCGGAAAAGUAAGCGUCUUGUGAAAAGCCCUCGGCUUAACCGGGGAAGUGCGUGACGUACUGCUUUUCUUGAGGCAAGGAGGGGAGCAUGGAACUCUUGGUGGAGCGGUGGAAUUCGUAGAUAUCAAGAGGAACGCCAGUGGAGAAAUCGGUGCACUGGACUUAUCCUGACGCUGAGACACGAAAGCGUGGGGAGCGAACGGGAUUAGAUACCCUGGUAGUCCACGCGGUAAACGAUGCCUACUAGGUUGUGGUGGUUAUCACACCAGCACAGCCGAAGCAAACGUGCUAAGUGGGCCGCCUGGGGAGUACGGUCGCAAGGUUAAAACUCAAAGGAAUUGACGGGGGCCCACACAAGCGGUGGAGCAUGUGGAUUAAUUCGAAGCAACGCGAAGAACCUUACCUGGGCUUGACAUGCUUGGAUGCUUGCCUGGAAACAGGUUAAGCUGCCCUCGGGUGAGGGAACUUGCAGACAGGUGCUGCAUGGCUGUCGUCAGCUCGUGUCGUGAGAUGUCGGGUUAAGUCCUUUAACGAGCGAAACCCUUACCCUUAGUUGCCAGCGGGUCAUGGGGGGCACUCUAGCGAGACUGCCGGUGUUAAACCGGAGGAAGGCGGGGAUGACGUCAAGUCAUCAUGGCCUUUAUGCCCAGGGCCUCACACGUGCUACAAUGGCGGUCACAAAGCGACGCAAGACCGCGAGGUGGAGCAAAUCCCAAAAAGGUCGCCCCAGUUCGGAUUGUAGGCUGGCAACUCGCCUCCAUGAAGUCGGAAUCGCUAGUAAUCGCAUAUCAGCUAUGAGGCGGUGAAUGUGUUCCUGAGCCUUGUACACACCGUGCGUCAAGUGAUGGGAGUUGGGAGUACUGGAAGUCGGUUUGCU
rnacentral:rRNA from 1 species